GACAGAGGGUGCAAACGUUGUUCGGAAUUACUGGGCGUAAAGCGCGCGCAGGCGGCUUUUUAAGUCCGACGGUGAAAUGCCGGGGCUCAACCCCGUGCCCGCCGCGGAUACUGGGAAGCUGGAGACGAGUAGAGGCAAGCGGAAUUCCGGGUGUAGCGGUGGAAUGCGUAGGGAUCCGGAAGAACACCGGAGGCGAAGGCGGGUUGCUGGGCUCGGUCUGACGCUGAGGCGCGAAAGCGUGGGGAGCGAACAGG
rnacentral:rRNA from 1 species